rnacentral:rRNA from 1 species
GGGCCCGCACAAGCGGUGGAGCAUGUGGUUUAAUUCGAUGCAACGCGAAGAACCUUACCAGGGCUUGACAUACUACAAAUCCUUUUGAGAAAAAGGAGUGCCUUCGGGAAUGUAGAUACAGGUGGUGCAUGGCUGUCGUCAGCUCGUGUCGUGAGAUGUUGGGUUAAGUCCCGCAACGAGCGCAACCCUUAUUUUUAGUUACCAAUUCGUUGGGUUCUCUAGAAAGACUGCCGGUGACAAACCGGAGGAAGGUGAGGAUGACGUCAAGUCAGCAUGCCCCUUAUGUCCUGGGCUACACACGUGCUACAAUGGCUAAGACAAAGAGUCGCGAGCUUGCAAAAGUCAGCUAAUCUCAUAAACUUAGCCUAAGUUCAGAUUGUAGGCUGCAACUCGCCUACAUG